AAACGUAGGAGGCGAGCGUUAUCCGGAUUUACUGGGCGUAAAGCGCGUGCAGGCGGAUUGGAGAGUUGGAUGUAAAAGCUCCCGGCUUAACUGGGAGAGGUCGUUCAAUACUUCCAGUCUUGAGUGCAGUAGAGGGAAGUGGAAUUCCGGGUGUAGUGGUGAAAUGCGUAGAUAUCCGGAGGAACACCAGUGGCGAAAGCGGCUUCCUGGACUGUAACUGACGCUCAGACGCGAAAGCUAGGGUAGCAAACGGGAUUAGAGACCCCGGUAGUCCUAGCCGUAAACGAUGUAGACUUGGCGUAGGAGGGUUUAAAUCCUUCUGUGCCGCAGCUAACGCGAUAAGUCUACCGCCUGGGGACUACGGCCGCAAGGUUAAA
rnacentral:rRNA from 1 species